GUGCUUGCUUCGGCAGCACAUAUAUUAAAAAUGGAACAAUACAGAGUAGAUUAGCAUGGCCCCUGUGAAAGGAUGACAUGCAAAUUCGCGAAGCAUCCCGUAUGUUU
ensembl:snRNA U6 U6 spliceosomal RNA